rnacentral:rRNA from 1 species
GAUGAACGCUGGCGGCGUGCCUAAUACAUGCAAGUCGAGCGAACGGACGAGAAGCUUGCUUCUCUGAUGUUAGCGGCGGACGGGUGAGUAACACGUGGAUAACCAACCUAUAAGACUGGGAUAACUUCGGGAAACCGGAGCUAAUACCGGAUAAUAUUUUGAACCGCAUGGUUCAAAAGUGAAAGACGGUCUUGCUGUCACUUAUAGAUGGAUCCGCGCUGCAUUAGCUAGUUGGUAAGGUAACGGCUUACCAAGGCAACGAUGCAUAGCCGACCUGAGAGGGUGAUCGGCCACACUGGAACUGAGACACGGUCCAGACUCCUACGGGAGGCAGCAGUAGGGAAUCUUCCGCAAUGGGCGAAAGCCUGACGGAGCAACGCCGCGUGAGUGAUGAAGGUCUUCGGAUCGUAAAACUCUGUUAUUAGGGAAGAACAUAUGUGUAAGUAACUGUGCACAUCUUGACGGUACCUAAUCAGAAAGCCACGGCUAACUACGUG